UACGUAGGGGGCAAGCGUUUGUCCGGAUUUAUUGGGCGUAAAAGGCUUGUAGGUGGCCACGCCAAGUCGGAUGUGAAAUCUCCCGGCUCAACUGGGAGGGGUCAUUCGAUACUGGUGGGCUCGAGGCCGGUAGGGGGAAGCGGAAUUCCCAGUGUAGCGGUGAAAUGCGUAGAUAUUGGGAGGAACACCAGUGGCGAAGGCGGCUCACUGGACCGGUACUGACGCUGAUGCGCGAAAGCGUGGGGAGCGAACAGG
rnacentral:rRNA from 1 species